rnacentral:rRNA from 1 species
CCUACGGGAGGCAGCAGUCGGGAAUCUUGUGCAAUGGGGGAAACCCUGACACAGCAACGCCGCGUGAGGGAUGAAGGCCCUAGGGUCGUAAACCUCUGUCGGGAGGGAAGAAUUCUCCGGGGGUGAAUAAUCCUCGGAGUUGACGGUACCUCCAAAGGAAGCGCCGGCUAACUCCGUGCCAGCAGCCGCGGUAAUACGGAGGGCGCAAGCGUUGUUCGGAAUCAUUGGGCGUAAAGCGCGUGUAGGCGGCUUGGCAAGUCGGGCGUGAAAGCCCGGGGCUCAACCCCGGAAUGGCGCUCGAAACUGCCUGGCUUGAGUCCCGGAGAGGAGGGCGGAAUUCCCGGUGUAGAGGUGAAAUUCGUAGAUAUCGGGAGGAACACCAGCGGCGAAGGCGGCCCUCUGGACGGUGACUGACACUGAGACGCGAAAGCGUGGGGAGCAAACAGGAUUAGAUACCCUGGUAGUCCACGCCGUAAACGUUGGGUGCUAGGUGUCGCGGGUAUUGACCCCUGCGGUGCCGUCGCUAACGCAUUUAGCACCCCGCCUGGGGAGUACGGUCACAAGGCUAAAACUCAAAGGAAUUGACGG